rnacentral:rRNA from 1 species
GAGUUAGCCGAGGCUUAUUCGUCAGGUACCGUCAGAUCUCCUUCCCUGACAAAAGAGGUUUACAACCCAAAAGCCUUCCUCCCUCACGCGGUCUUGCUCCGUCAGGCUUUCGCCCAUUGCGGAAAAAUUCCCC